AGUGGGUACGGAUGGGACCGUUUCUGCUAAAAUGGAUCUCGCAUGCCUGCCUUCACAGCACUCUAGGCUCUCCGCUAGUUCACCGCAGGGCACAGCCGGCACUGGGACCCACAGGUGUGCAUCUGGGAACCCCACAGCUCAGCAGGCCUGGCCAACGGCAGGACAUAGCCUCUAAUUGUUCCUUGAAGAAUGAGGUACAUACUAGGCCCAAAGAAGGCACCACAGCAGAAAUGUUGUGCUUCUUUUCUUCUCUUUUCGGCAUGGAAUAAACCCUUACCUGUUCCUUAA